rnacentral:rRNA from 1 species
CAAAUUUAAAAUCUACCUGGUUUCCAGGUCGAGUUGUAAUUUGAAGAUACGUUUUUGACGUUCCGGGUUGAACUAAAUCCUUUGGGAUAAGGUAUCAUGGAGGGUGAGAAUCCCGUAUAUACCAACCRUAGGGAUGUUAUUUAAUACGUUUCUAAGAGUCGAGUUGUUUGGGAAUGCAGCUCUAAAUGGGUGGUAAAUUUCACCUAAUGCUAAAUAUAAGCGAGAGACCGAUAGCGAACAAGUACAGUGAUGGAAAGAUGAAAAGAACUUUGAAAAGAGAGUUAAAUAGUAYGUGAAAUUGUUGAAAGGGAAACGAUUGAAGUCWGUCAUGCCVGUGGGAAUCAACUUWGAGGAAACUCUGAGUGCACUUCUUCGCUUGGCAGGUCAACGUCGAUUUUGGAUGUCAUAAAAUGAUUGGGGGAAGGUAGCUCYUUCGGGAGUGUUAUAGCCCUUGGUAGAUGUGAUGUCUGGGAUCGAGGAUUGCAAUGGAUACCCUUUGGGGCUAGCCGCCUGAUCUCUAAUCGGUAUUGGGUUACGGAUAGCAUGCUGACCGUGAUCUAAUUAUUGGUUAAAAGGUUAG